rnacentral:rRNA from 1 species
GAACGACUGCUAAGACUGGAUAGGAAAAGCAAAAGCAUCUUUACUUUUUUAAAAGACCUUCUUUGAAGGUAUGCUUAAGGAGGGGCUUGCGACACAUUAGUUAGUUGGCAGGGUAAAGGCCUACCAAGACUAUGAUGUGUAGCUGGACUGAGAGGUUGAACAGCCACAUUGGGACUGAGACACGGCCCAAACUCCUACGGGAGGCAGCAGUAGGGAAUUUUCGGCAAUGGAGGAAACUCUGACCGAGCAACGCCGUGUGAACGAUGAAGUACCUCGGUAUGUAAAGUUCUUUUAUUAAGGAAGAAAAAAGAGUGGAAAAACUCCCUUGACGGUACUUAAUGAAUAAGCCCCGGCUAAUUAUGUGCCAGCAGCCGCGGUAAUACAUAAGGGGCAAGCGUUAUCCGGAAUUAUUGGGCGUAAAGGGUGCGUAGGCGGUUUAAUAAGUCUAUAGUUUAAUUUCAGUGCUUAACGCUGUUGCGCUAUAGAAACUGUUUUACUAGAGUAAGAUAGAGGCAAGCGGAAUUCCAUGUGUAGCGGUAAAAUGCGUAAAUAUAUGGAGGAACACCAGAGGCGUAGGCGGCUUGCUGGGUCUUUACUGACGCUGAGGCACGAAAGCGUGGGGAGCAAACAGGAUUAGAUACCCUGGUAGUCCACGCCGUAAACGAUGAGUACUAAGUGUCGGGCAAAACCGGUACUGAAGUUAACACAUUAAGUACUCCGCCUGAGUAGUACGUACGCAAGUAUGAAACUUAAAGGAAUUGACGGGACUCCGCACAAGCGGUGGAUCAUGUUGUUUAAUUCGAAGAUACACGAAAAACCUUACCAGGUCUUGACAUUUUCUUGCGAAGUUAUAGAAAUAUAAUGGAGGUUAUCAGGAAAACAGGUGGUGCAUGGUUGUCGUCAGCUCGUGUCGUGAGAUGUUAGGUUAAGUCCUAAAACGAGCGCAACCCUUGUCGUUAAUUGCCAGCAUGUAAUGAUGGGGACUUUAACGAGACUGCCAAUGAAAAAUUGGAGGAAGGUGGGGAUUACGUCAAAUCAUCAUGCCCCUUAUGAUCUGGGCUACAAACGUGAUACAAUGGUUGAUACAAAGAGUAGCUGAAACGCGAGUUCUUAGCCAAUCUCACAAAAUCAAUCUCAGUUCGGAUUGAAGUCUGCAACUCGACUUCAUGAAGUUGGAAUCGCUAGUAAUCGCGAAUCAGCAUGUCGCGGUGAAUACGUUCUCGGGGUUUGUACACACCGCCCGUCA